AUGUAUGUAUGUGGGUGCUGUGUGUUUCUGUGUGUAUAUAUGUGCAGUGUGUGUGGGGUAUAUGUGUGCAUAUGUGUGGUGUGUGUAUAUGUGUAUGUGUGUGAUGUAUGUAUGUGGAGUAUGUGUGGGGGUAUAUGUGUGCAUAUUUGUGGUGUGUGUGUGGUGUGUGUGAAGUAUGUAUGUGUGGUGUGUGUAUGUCUAUAUUCGUGUGUGGUGUGUGUAUGUGUGUAUAUAUAUACAUACAGACAUCACAUACACAGCAUACAUAUACAAAUACAUACACGCCUGCAUCCAUACAUACACACCAGAACCCCACACACAUUGACAUGCAUGCAUACACACCACACACCUACUCACAUAUCACACACCCAACACAGCCAUACAUAUACCACACACAUACAUGUGUGCCUGUGUGUGUGUGGUGUAUGUGAUGUAUGUAUGUGUGUGGUGUGGGGGGGUAUACUUGUGCAUAUGUGGUAUGUAUGUGGUGUGUGUGUCUAUAUGUGUGUGUGGUGUAUGUGUGUGUAUAUGUGUGUGGUGUGUGUGGGGUACAUGUGUGGUAUAUGUGUGGUGUGUGUGAUGUAUGUAUGUGUGUGCUGUGUUUGGGGUAUAUGUGUGGUAUGUGUGUCGUGUGUGUGGGGCAUAUGUGUGCAUAUGUGUGGCAUGUGUGUGGUGUGUGUCUAUAUGUGUGUGGUGUGUAUGUGUGUGGUGUAUGUAUAUGUGUGUGUAUGGUGCUUAUGUAUAAGUGUAUGUGUGUAUGUAUGUGGUGUGUAUGUGUCUGCAUGGUGCAUGGUGAAUGUGUGUUUGUGGUGUGUGUGCAUGGUGCAUGUGUGUAUGUGGUGUGUGUGUGGGGUAUGUAUAUGUGUGUGCAUGGUGCUUAUGUAUGAGCGUAUGUGUGUAUGUGAUGUGUAUGUGUCUGUGCAUGGUGAAUGUGUGUAUGUAUGUUUGUGGUGUCUGCAUGGUGCAUGUGUGUAUGUGGUGUCUGUGUGCAUGGUGAUCCGCCCGCCUCAGCUCCCACAGUGCUGGUAUUACAGGUGUGAUCCGCCUGCCUUGGCUCCCACAGUGCUGGGAUGA
rnacentral:lncRNA from 1 species